rnacentral:rRNA from 1 species
GGGGAAUAUUGCACAAUGGGCGCAAGCCUGAUGCAGCCAUGCCGCGUGUGUGAAGAAGGCCUUCGGGUUGUAAAGCACUUUCAGCGAGGAGGAAGGGUUCAGUGUUAAUAGCACUGUUCAUUGACGUUACUCGCAGAAGAAGCACCGGCUAACUCCGUGCCAGCAGCCGCGGUAAUACGGAGGGUGCAAGCGUUAAUCGGAAUUACUGGGCGUAAAGCGCACGCAGGCGGUUUGUUAAGUCAGAUGUGAAAUCCCCGCGCUUAACGUGGGAACUGCAUUUGAAACUGGCAAGCUAGAGUCUUGUAGAGGGGGGUAGAAUUCCAGGUGUAGCGGCGAAAUGCGUAGAGAUCUGGAGGAAUACCGGUGGCGAAGGCGGCCCCCUGGACAAAGACUGACGCUCAGGUGCGAAAG